rnacentral:rRNA from 1 species
AUUGAACGCUGGCGGCAGGCCUAACACAUGCAAGUCGAGCGGAGCGGCGGACGGGUGAGUAAUGCCUAGGAAUCUGCCCGGUAGUGGGGGAUAACGUCCGGAAACGGGCGCUAAUACCGCAUACUCUCAGAUGAGCCUAGUGCGGAUUAGCUAGUUGGUGGGGUAACGGCCUACAAAGGCGACGAUCCGUAACUGGUCUGCGAGUAGGAUCAGUCACACUGGAACUGAGACACGUGCCAGACUCCUACGGGAGGCAGAAGUGGGGAAUAUUGGACAAGGGGCGAAAGCCUGAUCCAGCAAGGCCGCGUGUGUGAAGAAGGUCUUCGGAUUGUAAAGCACUUUAAGUUGGGAGGCGUUACCAACAGAAUAAGCAACGGCUAACUUCGUGCCAGCCGCCGCGGUAAUUC